GAUACAAAGAUUUUCUUACUUCUCCGAAGAUUUGCUCUCGCUCUCUUUCUUCCAACCGAAGCCUCUUUCAUUCGCUCCUUCCAACGGCUAUAUCUCCUGAUUUUCAUCCUUCCCGCACUCAUUCUCUUCCUUCCAACCAAAACUUCUGUACUCUCCGAUGACUGUAACUUCUCCAUUCUCUUGUUUCUACCUCCGCCCAUCUCCAAUCUACCAAACCACCGUCCGCUCCCUCGCCAAACAAUUCUUGUCCUUCCUUUCCACCUUGUCUCUACAUACAAAAUCCUAAUCAACGACAACAAACCUCUCUUUAUCCUUUCUUCGAUACUUUCCGACUCUGCAUAACUUGUAUCGAAUUCAUCUCUUCGCAGUUAUCUGGCGGUCCAGAGUUUAAAAGUCGUUUACUGUUUACAAGCCUGUACGAUGAGGGAGAGAGCGAAGCGUUUAGGGUUUUGGAGAGGCAUUGAGUGAAAUCCGAUUCAGAAGGUAAAUUCGAUGUAGGUGGUGGUGAUUCCAAGUUUGGAUCUAUCGCGGUCGAGGCGGUGGCUUCCGUUGUGAAAACUUUGACCAUGGGACAGAGUAAAGACUGUGGGAAAUAUGAAAGAGUUCUUGCUUUGGAGCAAGUUAGGCCUUGCAGGCAUUCAAUUUCUUGGUUUUGCAUUAAUAUUUUCCAUUUUUUUGAGACAUUUGUAGAGUAAUUCUGUUUGGUUUAUAUAUCAUUGUUCUUUUACUCAGUUAUUUCUUCUAACCCAACCUUGGACUACGAAAGAAUUAAGUUGCCGCGUAAUUUGAGAUCUUCAAAAUAUUUUUCCUGACUUGUUUCCAGUUGUUUUGCACAUCACUUUGCAUCACUCACUCGUUUUUAACCUUUUAUUUGUUUAUUUUACUAACGUAAGUUUUUAACUAUCUCACGGCUUCAUAACUAAAGUUUAUCUUUGACAUUUGAUUAACAUAUUUGUUAGCUGGUUGAGAUGGAUAAUAGUGCAAUAGAGUUUGUACAACCUACUGAUUAUUGUGCAAUAAAUGUCGAGAUGAUGCUACAGGUUUUUGUAGUACUCUUGCAAGACAUUUAAAUGACAUGGCAGGCGAUUUUCAUCAGUUAUAUUGCUUGACUACUGGCUGUUUUGUUGUGGCAUGGACAUAUACCUAUUUCAUUUAUUUGGAUAAGAUGCCCUGAGUUAUUAUCUUAAAUUUGGUAGAAUUUCCCAGGCUACAGUCACCGUUGAUCUAAUAUUGAGGCUUUAUGCAACUGGGCUAGAUUUUACUGAGCAAGAUGUUAAGUGGAAAUGUGAUGAUUUUUCCACUCUCAAAGGUGCAGAAGAUAAUUCUGGUAUCAAAGUUUUGUUUCUUGAAAGGGAUAAGCUUCACAAUUUUCUUUGACAAAACCUCAUAUGUUUCUUUGGCACUUUCACCCAUAGCUUUACAAAUGAUGAAAGAUAUUUCCAAUCAGCUGUCAUAGUUAUUAAUGUGAGGUUUUCGAAACAAGUUAUAAAUAUUUUUAUAAUUUGAUAUAUGGUGGAAUUUUUUCGAUCCUUGCAUCAUUUUGGGGUAAAUAAAUCUGUAUUCACGAGUCCUAUAUGGUGAUUUACGCUGGUCUUCGGUUUGAAAAUUCGUGUGAAGUUGGAGAUUUUUCCAGGCUGACCAAUGUGUAGUUGGUUGCAAUUGGUAGGUCAGAAAACUUCUACAGGUGAGCAUGUCUUCUACAUUUCUUCUUUUCCCUAUUUUCAUUAAUGUAUUAAGGUUAUGUUGGCUCCUUGCAGUGAUUUUCAGUCAGAGUUAGCAGAUGUCAUUCCAGUCACUAAGACCUCUAUUGCUGGCACUAGAAUAAUAGGACGGCUAAGUGCUGGUCAGAAUUUUUAAGACUUUCUUGAUCUUAUCUGAGGUGUGUUGAAAUAGAUUGCAAGACGUGCUGCAUGAAAUGCAAUAACUUGUGGAAGAAGCUAACUCUAUUGGCUAUCAAGGAAAGCCUCCAGUCAUCAAGAAACCCUGUUAUUGUUCAAGAUACACAAAGGAUAAAUUACUUAACAUCUGAAGUUGAAAAGUUGAAGUUAUGCAUACAUAUUUGUUGGAAUGAAAAUCACUUAUCUGCAUAUGUUUUUACCUUACGAAAUCAAACCUUUGAGUAAUAUCAAUAGAAUGCAGGUGUUUGAUUCAGUUGAGGCUGACACUGCUAUUCCAUGGAAUUGCUUUUGAAUAUCAAAAUUGGAUUGUGCAAGUCUUUGAGGAGGGUAUGUAAAAAAGGUAUUUGAGAGAGCAUUAUUUUCAUACGAUGCAUCGGGAUAUUCUACUCAUAUGGAACUGGCAUGGUUUCUCACUACUCAAAUUGAUUUAAUGCCCCUUUAAAUCUGUAGCUGUUAAAAAGAGAGGACUCGGUUACUUAAUUCUUUAUUAGACAAUUUCUGGAUUGGCAUGAUUAGUGUAUGCACAUAUUUAUGUAGACAAGAGGAAAGAAGGUAUUAAUUUUUGAGGGGAUUUAUCCAGGUCUGGAUGCUUGUUUGUAAACAUUGCAGCGUAAAGCUUUGAUGAUUUGGCCUUUGGUGUCAAGUGUUUAUAUCUUGCAUCUGUUCAUUCUAAUUUGUAAAGUCUUCACCACCAGCUAAAAAACAAACAGCUGAAGAGGCAAAGCAAGCUCAUACAGCCGUGCAAGGGGAACUGACUAAGAAGCUCGAAGAUGCAGAGAAGAAAGCAGAACGGCUUAAAGAUUCUGUGCACAGGUUUGUUACUAAUACCAUGAUAUCCAAAAUGAAAUCCUUGGUUGAUAACCACCGUUUUUGGUUGGAUCGGUUAUGGUUACGUUCCUUGUUUAUGGUGUCUCCGCUUCUGCUUUUCUUGUGUAUGGCCAAUUUUUCUUUGAUUUCAGAUACAUUGUAAAAUUCAUAAAAAUGUGGAUUUGGAGGAUAGUGCUCCCUCUUUAUGUUGUAUGCUGUUGUCUUCUGCGAAAGUGUCAAAGAGGGCAAUUGCCAUAAUUUUAAAGCUGGUUCAGCCAUUUUAUUUGUAUUUGUUUUAUUUUUUCCUUCGUUAAUUUUAUUUAAAAGGGUCCUUCCAGUUGUUUGUAGAUUUUUUUUGGUUCUAUAUGCUUAUGACUAAUGAAUGUUUGUUCCAAUUUUCAUUUUUGAAAUUUGUUCAGCAGCUUCUUGCAUAUCAGGAAAUUAAUCAUGUGUACCCAGAUUUUUGUCAAGGAGUGUAAAUUAAAGUUAUGAAUUAAGUAUUACAAGAUGUUUAUGCCACAGAAGAUAGUCCUUUAGAAAAGCAAGAAUUUUAAUUAGAACGGGAAGAACACUAAGGGCUAUUGUGAUUGAAGCUCUGAAGGACUGUAAUCAGUGCUUGUCUGAAGCUAUAUCUAUUAUGGUAAGGUAAUGAGUUCUGCAUGGGCUUACUUGUUUAUUUUUCAUACUUGUUGAUAUAACCCUUAAUUGUGAUUCUGUUGCUUCUUUUAGAGAUGAAUUCAGGGGUAAAUAUUAUUUAAAUAGAAAAAUGUCUAUGGUGAAAUGCGUAGCCCUGGAACUGCAGCCUGCCAUCAAUUAGCUGCUGCUUAUUGCUUACAUGCACUAUUUACCCAGAAAGCUGAACCAAACUCAAGAGGUAUUUUUGUAUAAAUGCAGUCUCCAGAUUUGACCAAUUAGUGUUUAAUGAUUCUUUGGGAAAUGCCUGGCCAAUCUGGGAAUGUAGGAGGCUUAGUCAUGCACUUGGUGUUUCUCUAGUAAAUGAGUCAUUCAUUACGAACUUAUCAGAGCAUUGUGUUGGAGGUUCCAAAUCCAUUGAUUUCUGGAUACAUUGUCUAAGCCGGUCUCAACCAAGGCUUCUUGGGUUCCAACAGAACCUGCCAUGUUACUUUAACACUUUCACUCAUGGCAUUAAAAACAUGAAAGAGAUUUCCGAGCAGCUGUCACCGUUGACAAUGUAAAACAGAUUGUGUCUGAACUCAUUGCAAGUUUAAGUCCUAUGAGCUUUGAAGAUCCUGUGUGCGGUCAUUCUCUCUUUCUUGCGGGUAAUGUCUACUAUGAUUUGUGUGAAAGUGAAAGACAUUUCCAGUGGACAAUUAUUUGAGGAUUGUAUGCUGUGAUCAAAAGUAGUACACUGGUUGAUGCUAUCCUUUGUACUCAGCCGUGAGGUUCCUCUACUUUUCAAAAGGUUGAAUUUUUGUUACUACUCUGACCUUUUCUUCAUGCUUGCGCAAGUAUACUGCAGUUUUAUUUAGAUUGAAAUUGGAUUAAUUGUUUAAAUAAGAUAUACUUUUGAUUAAUAUUUUUUUAUGUUACUUUUACCUUUAAAUCAAUCAUCUCCUCAUUCAAUAAAAAACCUCCAAAAGACGGAAGUACUCGAAUUGUUUUAAUGUAUGGGUGAGAGAGACAGAGAGAUGGGUCCAUUUUUAAUGUAAUGAUGAUGAUGGUUCAUGAACAUGCAAAAGUCAAUAUUCUAAUAAAGUAAUUGAACUGGGAUGAUUAACCUAAAUGAGGAAGCUACACGACUUUGGUACUACUCUUAUUUCACACGAUCCAGGAACUUCCAUAACGUUGGCGUGAUUCUAUUGAGCAACGGAUCUGGAAAUUGUGGGACAAAGGGGAUAAAAAAUUUCAGAUAAUUAACAUUAAUAUAGAAUUUUGACUUUUUUGCAUACAAA